rnacentral:rRNA from 1 species
CAUACGCCUUGAGGGAGAAAGAUUUAUCGCCCUGGGAUGAGCCCGCGUUGGAUUAGCUAGUUGGUGAGGUAAAGGCUCACCAAGGCGACGAUCCAUAGCUGGUCUGAGAGGAUGAUCAGCCACACUGGGACUGAGACACGGCCCAGACUCCUACGGGAGGCAGCAGUGGGGAAUAUUGGACAAUGGGGGCAACCCUGAUCCAGCCAUGCCGCGUGUGUGAAGAAGGCCUUAGGGUUGUAAAGCACUUUCACCGGUGAAGAUGAUGACGGUAGCCGGAGAAGAAGCCCCGGCUAACUCCGUGCCAGCAGCCGCGGUAAUACGGAGGGGGCAAGCGUUGUUCGGAAUGACUGGGCGUAAAGGGCGCGUAGCGGACGUGCAAGUUGGGGGUGAAAGGCCUGGGCUCAACCCAGGAACUGCCCUCAAAACUGUGUGUCUAGAGUUCGGAAGAGGAUGGCGGAAUUCCCAGUGUAGAGGUGAAAUUCGUAGAUAUUGGGAAGAACACCGGUGGCGAAGGGGCCAUCUGGUCCGAUACUGACGCUGAGGCGCGAAAGUGGGGAGCAAACAGGAUUAGAUACCCUGGUAGUCCACGCCGUAAACGAUGUGUGCUAGCCGUUGGG